rnacentral:tRNA from 1 species
GGCCGUUUAGCUCAAUUGGUUAGAGCACCUCGUUUACAUCGAGGGGGUUGAGGGUUCAAGUCCUUCAACGGCCA